rnacentral:rRNA from 1 species
CGGAGGAUCCAAGCGUUAUCCGGAAUCAUUGGGUUUAAAGGGUCCGUAGGCGGGUUUAUAAGUCAGUGGUGAAAGCCCAUCGCUCAACGAUGGAACGGCCAUUGAUACUGUAGAUCUUGAAUUAUUAGGAAGUAACUAGAAUAUGUAGUGUAGCGGUGAAAUGCUUAGAGAUUACAUGGAAUACCAAUUGCGAAGGCAGGUUACUACUAAUGGAUUGACGCUGAUGGACGAAAGCGUGGGUAAGCGAACAGGAUUAGAUACCCUGGUAGUCCACGCCGUAAACGAUGGAUACUAGCUGUUCGGAGCAAUCUGAGUGGCUAAGCGAAAGUGAUAAGUAUCCCACCUGGGGAGUACGUUCGCAAGAAUG